rnacentral:rRNA from 1 species
CAGGAUGAACGCUAGCUACAGGCUUAACACAUGCAAGUCGAGGGGCAGCAUGGUCUUAGCUUGCUAAGACUGAUGGCGACCGGCGCACGGGUGAGUAACGCGUAUCCAACCUGGCCCGCAGUAGGGAACAGCCCGGCGAAAGUCGGAUUAAUGCCCUAUGUCUUCCUUUGCAGGCAUCCAAUGAGGAAGAAAGAUUUAUCGCUGCGGGAUGGGGAUGCGUCUGAUUAGCUUGUCGGCGGGGUAACGGCCCACCGAGGCGACGAUCAGUAGGGGUUCUGAGAGGAAGGUCCCCCACACUGGUACUGAGACACGGACCAGACUCCUACGGGAGGCAGCAGUGAGGAAUAUUGGUCAAUGGGCGAGAGCCUGAACCAGCCAAGUAGCGUGCAAGGGACGACUGCCCUAUGGGUUGUAAACUGCUUUUAUGCGGGGAUAAACUUCAGCACGUGUGCUGUUUUGCAGGUACCGCAUGAAUAAGGACCGGCUAAUUCCGUGCCAGCCGCGGC